GACUCAGCCCGCCUGCACCCAGGUGAUUAAAGGCUUUAUUGCUCACACAAAGCCUGUUUGGUGGUCUCUUCACACGGACGCGCAUGAAAUUUGGUGCCGUGACUCGGAUCGGGGGACCUCCCUUGGGAGAUCAAUCCCGUCCUCCUGCUCUUUGCUCCAUGAGAAAGAUCCACCUACGACCUCAGGUCCUCAGACCGACCAGCCCAAGAAACAUCUCACCAAUUUCAAAUCCGGUAAGAAAAGAAGGUUUAUUCAGUAUGAAAGGCAUGCAGGAUUUUUUUCUUCUUAAAUUGAACUUUACUGUCACGGAAGAAGCAGCUCAUACAGAGAAUGACAGCGUACAAACCUGCAUAAAAGAAAACUUGAUUGUCAAAAGUAGAAGGAUUUGAUUCAACCGGGUGUUCGAGAGGCAGGUGUGUGUGCUUUUUAGUGGAGGUAAGGCCUUGACAUGUUUGGUACAAGUGUAGCUAAAGAAAACAAUCCAUUCAUGAGGAAGCUCUUGCCCAAAAACAUGAGGAGUCAGCAGAAGAGAAGUCACAUUUCCUUUUUUUAUUGUAUUUUUCUCCUCUCCUAAGAAUAAUCUCUUCUCAGAUAACCCAUCUGCAAAAUGUAAUUUAAAUAAAUGGAUCUGUCCUAAAAUUACAUGAAUUCC